UACGGAGGGUGCGAGCGUUGUCCGGAAUCAUUGGGCGUAAAGGGCGCGUAGGUGGCUUGGUAAGUCUGUGGUGAAAGCGCGGGGCUCAACCCCGCGUCGGCCGUGGAUACUGCUAGGCUUGAGCACUGUAGAGGCAGGCGGAAUUCCGGGUGUAGCGGUGGAAUGCGUAGAGAUCCGGAAGAACACCAGGGGCGAAGGCGGCCUGCUGGGCAGUUGCUGACACUGAAUCGCGACAGCGUGGGGAGCAAACAGG
rnacentral:rRNA from 1 species